rnacentral:rRNA from 1 species
UUCGCAAUGCCCGAAAGGGUGACGAAGCGACGCCGCGUGUGGGAAGAAGGCCUUCGGGUUGUAAACCACUGUCGGGAGUUAAGAAAUACAAGGAUAUUAAUAGUGUCUUUGUUUGACUAAGGCUCCGGAGGAAGCCACGGCUAACUCUGUGCCAGCAGCCGCGGUAAUACAGAGGCGGCAAGCGUUGUUCGGAAUUAUUGGGCGUAAAGAGCACGUAGGCGGCUAUGUAAGUCGGUUGUGAAAGCCUUCCGCUCAACGGAAGAACAGCAUCCGAUACUACAUGGCUUGAGUGCGGGAGGGGAGAGUGGAACUUCUGGUGGAGCGGUGAAAUGCGUAGAUAUCAGAAGGAACGCCGGCGGCGAAAGCGGCUCUCUGGCCCAUAACUGACGCUGAGUGUGCGAAAGCUAGGGGAGCAAACGGGAUUAGAUACCCCGGUAGUCCUAGCCGUAAACGAUGGGCACUAAGUAGAGGGGUUUUA